rnacentral:rRNA from 1 species
GAGUUUGAUCGUGGCUCAGAGCGAACGCUGGCGGCAGGCUUAACACAUGCAAGUCGAACGGUCCUUCGGGACAGUGGCGGACGGGUGAGUAACACGUGGGAACGUGCCCUUAGGUUCGGAACAACACAGGGAAACUUGUGCUAAUACCGGAUGUGCCCUUCGGGGGAAAGAUUUAUCGCCUUUGGAGCGGCCCGCGUCUGAUUAGCUUGUUGGUGAGGUAAAGGCUCACCAAGGCUACGAUCAGUAGCUGGUCUGAGAGGAUGGCCAGCCACACUGGGACUGAGACACGGCCCAGACUCCUACGGGAGGCAGCAGUGGGGAAUCUUGCGCAAUGGGGGAAACCCUGACGCAGCCAUGCCGCGUGGAUGAUGAAGGCCUUCGGUC